rnacentral:misc_RNA from 1 species
AGCAGCCGCGGUAAUUCCAGCUCCAAUAGCGUAUAUUAAAGUUGUUGCAGUUAAAAAGCUCGUAGUUGAAUUUCGAGAUCAAAUUGUUGGUCGUGCCUUGGUACGCACUGGCAUUAUUGGUUUCUCCCUUCUGACGAACCAUGAUGUCAUUAAUUUGGUGUCUUGGGGAAUCAGGACUGUUACUUUGAAAAAAUUAGAGUGUUUAAAGCAGGCUCACGCUUGAAUACAUUAGCAUGGAAUAAUGAAAUAGGACGUUUGAUUCUAUUUUGUUGGUUUCUAGGAUCGACGUAAUGAUUAAUAGGGAUAGUUGGGGGCAUUAGUAUUCAAUUGUCAGAGGUGAAAUUCUUGGAUUUAUUGAAGACUAACUACUGCGAAAGCAUUUGCCAAGGAUGUUUUUCAUUGAUCAAGAACGAAAGUUAGGGGAUCGAAGACGAUCAGAUACCGUCGUAGUCUUAACCAUAAACUAUACCGACUAGGGAUCGGAUGAUGUUAAUUUUUUUAAUGACUCAUUUCGGGCGCC